rnacentral:rRNA from 1 species
UUACGCGUUGAACUAAUGAGCCUGGAAGGGUUCGAGUACACGGAAUGCUUCAUGUAGCGGUGAAAUUCUAAGAUAUGAAGUAGAACGCCAAGUACGAAGGCAGUGUCAUAGGGCAUUAUUGACGAUGAGGUACGAAAGCGUGGGUAGCGAUCAGGAUUAGAUACCCUGAUAAUCCACGCCCUAAAAGAUGCUAACUGGUCAUUUGUCGCGAAUAGACAAGUGACUGAGGGUAACCAUUAAGUUAGCCACCUGGGGAGUCGUUCGCAAGAAGUAACUCAAAGGAUUGACGGGGGUCCACACAAGCGGGGAGCAUGUGGUUUAAUUCGAUGAACGCGAGAACCUUCCUGGGCUCGAACGCUACUUGACCGAUCUUGAAAGGGGUCUUCUCUUCGGAGCAGGUAGUGAGGUGCUGCAUGGUUGUCGUCAGCUCGUGCCGUGAGGUGUUGGGUUAAGUCCCGCAACGAGCGCACCCCCUAUCUUCAGUUGCCAACAGAUAAUGCUGGGGACUCUGGAGAGACUGCCUCCGUAAGGAGGGAGGAAGGAAGGGACGACGUCAAAUCAUCAUGGCCUUUAUGCCCAGGGCUACACACGUGCUACAAUGGCAGGUACAGAGGGGAGCGAAACCGUGAGGUGGAGCGAAUCUCAGAAAGCCUGUCCCAGUUCGGAUUGAAGUCUGCAACUCGACUUCAGGAAGUGGGAAUCGCUAGUAAUCGCGCAUCAGCCAUGGCGCGGUGAAUAGGUUCCCGGACCUUGUCCCCUAAACGGGUCAAGCCAGGGGAGUCGGGGGUGCGGGAACGAUGCUG